rnacentral:rRNA from 1 species
GAUGAACGCUGGCGGCGUGCCUAAUACAUGCAAGUCGAACGCAUUGAGAGAAGUGCUUGCACUUUUCAAUUUGAGUGGCGAACGGGUGAGUAACACGUGGGCAACCUACCUGAUAGCGGGGGAUAACGAGUGGAAACAUUCGCUAAUACCGCGUAACAAUAGAGAAGGCAUCUUCUUUAUUUAAAAGGCGCUUUCAAGCGUCACUAUCAGAUGGGCCCGCGGUGCAUUAGUUAGUUGGUGGGGUGAAGGCCUACCAAGACGAUGAUGCAUAGCAGGGUUGGGAGAUGGAGCGGCCACAUUGGGACUGAGAAACGGCCCAAACUCCUACGGGAGGCUGCAGUAGGGAAUCUUCCACAAUGGACGAAAGUCUGAUGGAGCAACGCCUCGUGUGUGAUGAAGGCUUUCGGGUCGUAAAGCACUGUUGUAUGGGAAGAAAUGCUAGGCUAGGAAAUGAGCUUAGUUUGACGAUACCAUACCAGAAAGGGACGGCUAAAUACGUGCCAGCCACCGCCGUAA